rnacentral:rRNA from 1 species
UAACCUGCCUUGGAGUGGGGAAUAACAGCUGGAAACAGCUGCUAAUACCGCAUGAUGCAGUUGGGUCGCAUGGCUCUGACUGCCGAAGAUUUAUCGCUCUGAGAUGGACUCGCGUCUGAUUAGCUAGUUGGCGGGGCAACGGCCCACCAAGGCGACGAUCAGUAGCCGGACUGAGAGGUUGGCCGGCCACAUUGGGACUGAGACACGGCCCAGACUCCUACGGAAGGCAGCAG